UUUAAAAUUUGACAGCAAAAUGUCCAUCAACAUGUAUAUAUUUUGAUUAUACAUUUUAUUUGCGUUGGUAUUAGUUGUAUAAUAGCAAGGGACUCGUCGCAAGCGCCUCAGUCCAUCACUGUCGUUCUCAAAUGACGUUAAAGGACACCCUCUCAGGCAGCGCAUGACUGGUUUUAUGGACGUGAAGCAAUGUGUCGUGAAACAACGUGUCAUGAAGAAACAUGUCGUGAAGCAACGAGUCGCAAAGCGAGGAGACCAGAAGCAACGGGCUGUGAAGCAAAGCGUUAUGAAGCAACUAAACGAGAGCAACACUCAUCAGAUGGAUGUUUAACUUUCACACUGAAACAAGUUCUACCUGAAGUUCUCAGGCACUGGUGGAAACCUCCAACCAAAACCACAAUGACUGCAUGUUGUUGCCGCUUCAAACAUCUUCAAACUGGCCGUUGCUCUGAUGUCACCGGGCUGAGUCAGCCAUAACACCACCAUGACCACAACAAACACUAACAGCAUGAUACUAGCACAGCACUGACACACAAAGAGCCCAACCAAUAGCACCCAAACACUCUGACACCACCGACACACUGACAUUACUCACACCUGUGUCAUGAUUCUGUUUCUUCUGUGUGUUGAUUUUGAUAUUAUGCCCUUGUGUGUCUCUUUUUCAGUUGUUUUGUGUUUCUCCCUCUCUGUUAAUUUCCCAUCAUUACUUCACCUGUCCUUCUCCCUCCUCACUCACCUCACCUGUGCCUGAUCCCCUUUUUAGUGUAUCUAUAUAUUUACUCUUUGUUCUCACUGCACUCGUUGUCUGUCUCCUCGUGAUGUUCUGUAGUGUUUCCUAUCUCCUCCUGUGUCUCCCUGAUUGGUAUGUAUUGGAUUUUGA